rnacentral:sRNA from 4 species
AUAUCUCUCUGUACGGGAAGGAUGAGAAGCUUCGACUAAGGUUCGAUUCGAGCGUCAGCGAGAAAGCGUUGCCGCAGGCAACGAC